CCAAUAGCGUAUAUUAAAGUUGUUGCAGUUAAAAAGCUCGUAGUUGAAUUUUAGGCCUGGCCGGAUGGUCCGUCUUUGGCGAGUACUGUUCUGUCGUCGGGUCUAUCCUUCUGGUGAGCCGGGAUGCCCUUUAUUGGGUGUGUCGGGGAACCAGGACCAUUACCUUGAAAAAAUUAGAGUGUUUAAAGCGGGCAUUUGCUUGAAUAGAUUAGCAUGGAAUAAUAGAAUAGGACGUUGGUUCUAUUUUGUUGGUUUUAGGACCACCGUAAUGAUUAAUAGGGAUAGUUGGGGGCAUUAGUAUUCAAUUGUCAGAGGUGAAAUUCUUGGAUUUAUUGAAGACUAACUAUUGCGAAAGCAUUUGCCAAGGAUGUUUUCAUUAAUCAAGAACGAAAGUUAGGGGAUCGAAGACGAUCAGAUACCGUCGUAGUCUUAACCAUAAACUAUGCCGACUAGGAAUCGGGCGACGUUAUUUCAUGACUCGCUCGGCGCCUUAUG
rnacentral:ncRNA from 2 species